GACGUAGGGUGCAAGCGUUGUCCGGAAUUACUGGGCGUAAAGGGCGCGUAGGCGGCCUGUUAAGUGUAUAGUGAAAGCCCGGGGCUCAACCCCGGAACUGCUGUGCAUACUGGCAGGCUUGAGGGAUGCAGAGGCUUGUGGAAUUCCUGGUGUAGCGGUGAAAUGCAUUGAUAUCAGGAGGAACACCCAUGGCGAAGGCAGCAAGCUGGGCAUCAUCUGACGCUGAGGCGCGAAAGCGUGGGGAGCAAACAGG
rnacentral:rRNA from 1 species